rnacentral:rRNA from 1 species
UACGUAGGAGGCAAGCGUUGUCCGGAAUUACUGGGCGUAAAGCGCGUGUAGGUGGUGGGACAAGUCUGCUGUGAAAGCGCCUGGCUUAACCGGGCGAGGUCGGCGGAAACUGUCCGACUAGAGGACGGUAGAGGGGGGUGGAAUUCCCGGUGUAGUGGUGGAAAUGCGUAGAGAUCGGGAGGAACACCUGUGGCGAAGGCGGCCCCCUGGGCCGGCCCUGACACUGAGACGCGAAGGCGUGGGGAGCGAAUGGG